GCUGCUCCUUGCGCAGUCGCACUACCGCUGCUUUUAGGUCGCGUCCCGCUGGUGGUCGAGGUCCGCGCAAAUAAAUGUCUUAACCACUCAAGAAAGGAGCUAAUGGAACCGAGACAUCCAGCGCCUCACUUGGUGAAGUGCUUGUUGAAUGAAUGAGCAGAUGUUGCCACCGAAGCUUGGUGCCAUUGAGAACUACCUGACUGCCUAGAUCCUUCUUGGGACUACCUUAAAAAAAAAGAGAGAGAGAAGGAGCGCCAGGAGGAGAAGCCCUGCAAAGUGCAGCUGGACACCUCCACGCCUGACCGAGAAAUACUGGGGAUAGUGAUGCUCAUGGAGACGCUCGAAUCCGACACUGGAAUUGCAAACUAGGAAGUUUGUUGGCUUGGCACUGCUGUUCUCAGUCCACCAUUUAAAAAUGCUCUGAGCCCAACAUCUAGAAAUCUCACUAACGACCCUCUGGACUCAAAAAAUGAGGUUACAGUUUGUUUCCCCUUCAUUUCCUAUAGAAAUGUCCCUCAUCAGGUGCCUGACUGCUGACACCAUAUAAAGGCUGGACUUAAGCAGGCUCCCGCUCCUGCCUGCAGCACAGCUUCCUAAAAUGAAACACAGCUGUUUCACCGAGUGACUCCUUCCUGGGUCUGAGAGACUGAUUCAUUAAGACAUGGGCAGGAGACUUAGGUUUGUUCUUUUCCCCUUCUUCCAUUUAGGCUUUUCUCUGCCUCUGCAGAUCUCUUAUUUUGCUACUUCUCAUUCCAGUCUCUUUGCACAGCUGCCAACUCAACUUUUAAUAUAUGAUACUUACGUUUCAAAUGGGAAAGUGAGGGAUUUAGGGUAUUCUACCCCAAAAUAUGCCAGACUGGCAUGAGGAUUAUUUUGAAUUGAAGGCAGUUAAGAAGGAACAGACACAAGAAAAGCUCUCUGUCCUCCCCUUCUUUACCAGGAAGGACAGAACGAUUCUUAAUCACCAGAGACAACUCUACACUCUUAGCCGGGAGACACCACCAGAGAAAUCGACACAAUGCACUUUGCUAAGAACUGUAUUUUCCAUUUGUUUUCCCCAUAUUCUUACCUUUCCACAAUUUGCCACUCCUAGAAGCUCAGAGUACUUCUCCUUUGUCUUGUCACUUCUCUACGAAUUUAAUGUUCUUUUGUGAUGCUGUGUCCGUACCCUCUUAAAUCUGAGGUUCUGAGACUGACGUACCCAUAGGCUAGAAUGAAUGUGACACUGGGCCAGGUUCCAGGCCCAGGAUUCGAGACACUGGUCUGAUUCUGGGGGCACUCGCCCUGGGAAUUCAGCCUCUGGGUUGUGAAGUCCAGAAAGCCCUGUGGAGUGAGCAGUCCUUGUGAUGAGGAAUCAAAGCUCCUAGCUGGUAGCCAGCGCUAACUUGUUGGCUGCGUGAUGCACCAUCUUGAAAGUGGAUUCUAGUUGAGUUGCCCCAGAGGCCGCAUGGAGCACAGAGAAGCCAUCCCCGCUGAGUCCUGCUCAGCUUAGGUUUGUGGCAGAAUACACGAUUAUUCUUAAGCCAUUAGGGUCUGGGCUGGUUCGUUACACAGCAGUACUCCGUCUCCCUCGAGCACUUGGGUCUCCUGUCCAAGUGCGCAGGUGCCCACCUGGAGGUUCCCCUCCCACCACUCUCCCUUUGCCUCUGUUCUGUUGGCUGGUGAGCUGCACUGGGCUUAGAGCAGUGUGCAUAUGUUUUCGUGUGUGCUCAGUCGAGUCUGACUCUUUGUGACCCCAUGGACUGUAGCCCACUACAGUCCAUGGGAUUUUCCAGGCAAGAAUACUGGAGUGGGUUGCCAUUUCCUCCUCCAGAGGAUCUUCCUGACCCAGGGAUGGAACCCGAGUCUCCUGCGGCUCCUGCACUGCAGGUGGGUUCUUGAACUGAGCCACUGAGCAGUUAGUGGCCAAGGUGGCCUCAAUAGGGGACAGGUAUUAGGAGGGUCAUGCAGAGGGGACUCCGGCUGCCUCAGCAAGAACAGAACAGAACAAACUCUGGCCUCUGAGUCACCCACUGGCAGCUCAAAGCCCGGCCUGCUGGAACAUAAACACAUAGAGAAGAUGGAAUGCGUUGAGCUCCUGCUGAACCUGUCUCAGUCAACAACCGGGCAAUGAGGGCUUCAGCUGACCCAGGGGACAAGCUGCCAAAGCAUUUAAACAACCUGAUACCUCUUUUUUUC
ensembl:lncRNA